rnacentral:rRNA from 1 species
UACGUAGGUGGCAAGCGUUGUCCGGAUUUACUGGGCGUAAAGAGCGCGCAGGCGGUCGUGCAAGUCGCGUGUGAAAGCCCCCGGCUCAACUGGGGAGGGUCACGCGAUACUGCUCGACUUGAAGGCAGGAGAGGGAAGUGGAAUUCCCGGUGUAGUGGUGAAAUGCGUAGAUAUCGAGAGGAACACCUGCGGCGAAGGCGGGUUGCUGGGCUGACACUGACGCUGACAGCGCGAAAGCUAGGGGAGCGAACGGG